UAACACAUGCAAGUCGAACGGAGCUUAGAGAGCUUGCUUUUUAAGCUUAGUGGCGAACGGGUGAGUAACGCGUGAGUAACCUGCCCUGGAGUGGGGGACAACAGUUGGAAACGACUGCUAAUACCGCAUAAGCGCACAGCUUCGCAUGAAGCAGUGUGAAAAACUCCGGUGGUACAAGAUGGACCUUCGGGCCUCUUGCCAUCGGAUGUGCCCAGAUGGGAUUAGCUAGUAGGUGGGGUAACGGCUCACCUAGGCGACGAUCCCUAGCUGGUCUGAGAGGAUGACCAGCCACACUGGAACUGAGACACGGUCCAGACUCCUACGGGAGGCAGCAGUGGGGAAUAUUGCACAAUGGGCGCAAGCCUGAUGCAGCCAUGCCGCGUGUAUGAAGAAGGCCUUCGGGUUGUAAAGUACUUUCAGCGGGGAGGAAGGGAGUAAAGUUAAUACCUUUGCUCAUUGACGUUACCCGCAGAAGAAGCACCGGCUAACUCCGUG
rnacentral:rRNA from 1 species